GAGCUUCCUUAUAAAACAAUAAAUAUUCUUUUCUAUUUAAAAACUUCAAUAUUUAAAUCUAAAAAUUUAAAAAAAAUGACAAAAUUUUUAAACUUUACCCUAAUUUCUUUACUGUUUGGUUUAUCUCUAUUUUAUUCAAGUGUUUCAGAUGACAACUUAAUCAAUGAUGCCCAGGGAAUUUGGGAAUCUUGGGGUUCUAGACUAAAAAGAAGUGCAAAGACUGAUUGUCCAUUGUGUGGGUUAUAUUGCCAAUACGGACAUGAGACGGGAGAGGGUAUUUGCCCGCUAUGCAAAUGCAAACCUAAGCCAAUGUAUUAGUAUACAGAUGCUGCUAGCACGACAACGUUAUUCAAGAGAAACUUUUAAAUUUGAGAAAACUUUAAUUUAAUUUUAAUUAUAAGAAUUCUGGAAGAAAUUUGAAACGGUAUGUUAUUAUUCUAUAUUGUAAAAUUUGAAAUCAAUUUUAGAUUGUUGUUAAUUUUAAUUUAUAUAUAUACAUGUAUGUUUUUUUAUAUCAUAUAAAUGAUGUAAAACUUC